rnacentral:rRNA from 1 species
UGAGGAAUAUUGGUCAAUGGCCGGAAGGCUGAACCAGCCAUCCCGCGUGCAGGAUGACGGCCCUAUGGGUUGUAAACUGCUUUUGUACCUGAAGAAACUCCCCGACGUGUUGGGGACUGCCGGUAAGGUAUGAAUAAGCAUCGGCUAACUCCGUGCCAGCAGCCGCGGUAAUACGGAGGAUGCAAGCGUUAUCCGGAUUCAUUGGGUUUAAAGGGUGCGCAGGUGGGGAUGUAAGUCAGUGGUGAAAUACUGCCGCUUAACGGUAGAAUUGCCAUUGAUACUGCAUUUCUUGAGUAUGGUUGAGGUAGGUGGAAUGUGUUGUGUAGCGGUGAAAUGCAUAGAUAUGACACAGAACGCCGAUUGCGAAGGCAACUUACUAAGCCAAUACUGACGCUGAGGC